AGCAGCCGCGGUAAUUCCAGCUCCAAUAGCGUAUAUUAAAGUUGUUGCAGUUAAAAAGCUCGUAGUUGAAUUUCGGGAUUAACGUGAUGGUCGUGCCUUAAGGGGUAUGAACUGUCGCUGUUGAUUUCUCACCUUCUGGAGAAACUUGAUGUCCUUAAUUGGGUGUCUUGCGGAUCCAGGACCUUUACCUUGAAAAAAUUGAGUGUUUAAAGCAGGCAUUUUGCUCGAAUACAUUAGCAUGGAAUAAUAGAAUAGGACGGCAUGGUUCUAUUUGUUGGUUUCUAGGAUCACCGUAAUGAUUAAUAGGGAUAGUUGGGGGCAUUAGUAUUCAAUUGUCAGAGGUGAAAUUCUGGAUUUAUUGAAGACUAACUACUGCGAAAGCAUCUGCCAAGAAUGUUUUCAUUAAUCAAGAACGAAAGUUAGAGGUUCGAAGGCGAUCAGAUACCGCCCUAGUUCUAACCAUAAACGAUGCCAACCAGCAAUCCGUCUGAGUUCCUUAAAUGACUCGACGG
rnacentral:rRNA from 1 species